rnacentral:rRNA from 1 species
UACGUAGGGGGCGAGCGUUGUCCGGAUUUAUUGGGCGUAAAGAGCUCGUAGGCGGUUUGGUAAGUCGGAUGUGAAAUCUCCACGCUCAACGUGGAGGGCCAUACGAGACUGCCAUGACUAGAGUCCGGUAGAGGAAUGUGGAAUUCCCGGUGUAGCGGUGAAAUGCGCAGAGAGUCGGGAGGAACACCGGUGGCGAAGGCGGCAUCCUGGACCACGACUGACACGUGAAAAGCGAAAGACCAGGGGAGGCAAACGGAG